UUAAGUUAGAAAGGGCGCACGGUGGAUGCCUUGGCACUAGGAGCCGAUGAAGGACGGGACGAACACCGAUAUGCUUCGGGGAGCUGUAAGCAAGCUUUGAUCCGGAGAUUUCCGAAUGGGGAAACCCACCACUCGUAAUGGAGUGGUAUCCAUAUCUGAAUUCAUAGGAUAUGAGAAGGCAGACCCGGGGAACUGAAACAUCUAAGUACCCGGAGGAAGAGAAAGCAAAUGCGAUUCCCUGAGUAGCGGCGAGCGAAACGGGAUUAGCCCAAACCAAGAGGCUUGCCNUCUGGGNGUUGUAGGACACUCUGUACGGAGUUACAAAGGAACGAGGUAGAUGAAGAGGUCUGGAAAGGCCCGCCAUAGGAGGUAACAGCCCUGUAGUCAAAACUUCGUUCUCUCCUGAGUGGAUCCUGAGUACGGCGGAACACGUGAAAUUCCGUCGGAAUCCGGGAGGACCAUCUCCCAAGGCUAAAUACUCCCUAGUGACCGAUAGUGAACCAGUACCGUGAGGGAAAGGUGAAAAGCACCCCGGAAGGGGAGUGAAAGAGAUCCUGAAACCGUGUGCCUACAAGUAGUCAGAGCCCGUUAACGGGUGAUGGCGUGCCUUUUGUAGAAUGAACCGGCGAGUUACGAUCUGACGCUGGGUACGUGGUCGUAGACCCGAAACCAGGUGAUCUACCCAUGUCCAGGGUGAAGUUCAGGUAACACUGAAUGGAGGCCCGAACCCACGCACGUUGAAAAGUGCGGGGAUGAGGUGUGGGUAGGGGUGWARWKMAGAWMSAGCCUGGAGAUAGCUGGUUCUCUCCGAAAUAGCUUUAGGGCUAGCCUCAAGGUAAGAGUCUUGGAGGUAGAGCACUGAUUGGACUAGGGGCCCCUACCGGGUUACCGAAUUCAGUCAAACUCCGAAUGCCAAUGACUUAUCCUUGGGAGUCAGACUGCGAGUGAUAAGAUCCGUAGUCGAAAGGGAAACAGCCCAGACCGCCAGCUAAGGUCCCAAAGUAUACGUUAAGUGGAAAAGGAUGUGGAGUUGCUUAGACAACCAGGAUGUUGGCUUAGAAGCAGCCACCAUUUAAAGAGUGCGUAAUAGCUCACUGGUCGAGUGACUCUGCGCCGAAAAUGUACCGGGGCUAAACGUAUCACCGAAGCUGCGGACUGUUCUUCGAACAGUGGUAGGAGAGCGUUCUAAGGGCUGUGAAGCCAGACCGGAAGGACUGGUGGAGCGCUUAGAAGUGAGAAUGCCGGUAUGAGUAGCGAAAGAGGGGUGAGAAUCCCCUCCACCGAAUGCCUAAGGUUUCCUGAGGAAGGCUCGUCCGCUCAGGGUUAGUCGGGACCUAAGCCGAGGCCGAAAGGCGUAGGCGAUGGACAACAGGUUGAUAUUCCUGUACCACCUCCUCACCAUUUGAGCAAUGGGGGGACGCAGGAGGAUAGGGUAAGCGCGGUAUUGGAUAUCCGCGUCCAAGCAGUUAGGCUGGGAAAUAGGCAAAUCCGUUUCCCAUAAGGCUGAGCUGUGAUGGCGAGCGAAAUAUAGUAGCGAAGUUCCUGAUUCCACACUGCCAAGAAAAGCCUCUAGCGAGGUGAGAGGUGCCCGUACCGCAAACCGACACAGGUAGGCGAGGAGAGAAUCCUAAGGUGAUCGAGAGAACUCUCGUUAAGGAACUCGGCAAAAUGACCCCGUAACUUCGGGAGAAGGGGUGCUCUGUUAGGGUGCAAGCCCGAGAGAGCCGCAGUGAAUAGGCCCAGGCGACUGUUUAGCAAAAACACAGGUCUCUGCGAAGCCGUAAGGCGAAGUAUAGGGGCUGACGCCUGCCCGGUGCUGGAAGGUUAAGAGGAGCGCUUAGCGUAAGCGAAGGUGCGAAUUGAAGCCCCAGUAAACGGCGGCCGUAACUAUAACGGUCCUAAGGUAGCGAAAUUCCUUGUCGGGUAAGUUCCGACCCGCACGAAAGGCGCAACGAUCUGGGCACUGUCUCAACGAGAGACUCGGUGAAAUUAUAGUACCUGUGAAGAUGCAGGUUACCCGCGACAGGACGGAAAGACCCCGUGGAGCUUUACUGCAGCCUGAUAUUGAAUGUUGGUACAGCUUGUACAGGAUAGGUAGGAGCCUUGGAAACCGGAGCGCUAGCUUCGGUGGAGGCAUCGGUGGGAUACUACCCUGGCUGUAUUGACCUUCUAACCCGCCGCCCUUAUCGGGCGGGGAGACAGUUUCAGGUGGGCAGUUUGMCUGGGGCGGYCGCCUCNNUAAANGGKAACGGRGGSGCCCAAAGGUUCCCUCAGAAUGGUUGGAAAUCAUUCGCAGAGUGUAAAGGCACAAGGGAGCUUGACUGCGAGACCUACAAGUCGAGCAGGGACGAAAGUCGGGCUUAGUGAUCCGGUGGUUCCGCAUGGAAGGGCCAUCGCUCAACGGAUAAAAGCUACCCCGGGGAUAACAGGCUUAUCUCCCCCAAGAGUCCACAUCGACGGGGAGGUUUGGCACCUCGAUGUCGGCUCAUCGCAUCCUGGGGCUGUAGUCGGUCCCAAGGGUUGGGCUGUUCGCCCAUUAAAGCGGUACGCGAGCUGGGUUCAGAACGUCGUGAGACAGUUCGGUCCCUAUCCGUCGCGGGCGCAGGAAAUUUGAGAGGAGCUGUCCUUAGUACGAGAGGACCGGGAUGGACGCACCGCUGGUGUACCAGUUGUUCUGCCAAGGGCAUCGCUGGGUAGCUAUGUGCGGACGGGAUAAGUGCUGAAAGCAUCUAAGCAUGAAGCCCCCCUCAAGAUGAGAUUUCCCAUUCCGCAAGGAAGUAAGAUCCCUGAAAGAUGAUCAGGUUGAUAGGUCUGAGGUGGAAGUGUGGCGACACAUGGAGCUGACAGAUACUAAUCGAUCGAGGACUUAACCAU
rnacentral:rRNA from 1 species